rnacentral:rRNA from 1 species
AUACGGAGGGUCCAAGCGUUAUCCGGAAUCAUUGGGUUUAAAGGGUCCGCAGGCGGUCAAUUAAGUCAGAGGUGAAAGCCCAUCGCUCAACGAUGGAACUGCCUUUGAUACUGGUUGACUUGAGUUAUACGGAAGUAGAUAGAAUAGGUAGUGUAGCGGUGAAAUGCAUAGAUAUUACUUAGAAUACCGAUUGCGAAGGCAGUCUACUACGUAUAUACUGACGCUGAGGGACGAAAGCGUGGGGAGCGAACAGGAUUAGAAACCCCUGUAGUCC